rnacentral:lncRNA from 1 species
AGAUGGUGAUGAGCCCAGGUCCUUUGUUGUUAGUCUUUGUGCUUAGACUGGUUGUGAUCCCUCCCACUCUGGCUCAGGAUGCCUACAGGUACAUAAAAUUCCUGACUCAGCACUAUGAUGCCAAGCCAAAAGGGCCAGGACGACAGAUACUGUGAACUUAUGAUGAAGGAAAGAAAGCUAACCUUGCCCUGCAAAGAAGUCAACACCUUUAUCCAUGACACCAAGAACAACAUCAAUGCCAUCUGUGUAAAGAAUGGAAGCCCUUACAGAGAAGGCUUAAGAAUAAGCAAUUCUCGCUUCCAGGUCACCACUUGCAAGCACACAGGAGGGUCUCCCUGACCUCCACGCCUGUACCGAGCCUCUGCAGGGUUCUGAGAUAUUGUUAUUGCCUGUAAGAAUGGCUUCCCUAAUCAUUUCUAUGAGUCUUUUAUCAGUC